rnacentral:rRNA from 1 species
AGGACGAACGCUGGCGGCGUGCUUAACACAUGCAAGUCGAGCGGAAAGGCCCUUCGGGGUACUCGAGCGGCGAACGGGUGAGUAACACGUGAGUAACCUGCCCUGGACUUUGGGAUAACCCUCGGAAACGGGGGCUAAUACCGAAUAUGACUUCUGCCCGCAUGGGUGGUGGUGGAAAGUUUUUCGGUCUGGGAUGGGCUCGCGGCCUAUCAGCUUGUUGGUGGGGUGAUGGCCUACCAAGGCGACGACGGGUAGCCGGCCUGAGAGGGCGACCGGCCACACUGGGACUGAGACACGGCCCAGACUCCUACGGGAGGCAGCAGUGGGGAAUAUUGCACAAUGGGCGGAAGCCUGAUGCAGCGACGCCGCGUGAGGGAUGACGGCCUCGGGUUGUAAACCUCUUCAGCAGGGACGAAGCGAGAGUGACGGUACCUGCAGAAGAGCGCCGGCAACUACGUGCCAGCAGCCGC